UCAAUUGUCUCAAACACAAAAACUCUAAUCCAGUUUUCAUCUUCUUUCCUAUUUGAAACCCUAACGGAGAAGCCCCUGAUCCAGCCGAUCGAUCUUCAUCUGAUAAGUUUUUGACGGAUCGGGUUUUUCAAUUCCCCGCAAGUAGAGAAAAAGAUCAAGGGGUUAAUGGAUUACAUCUAUACCUGGAAGCUGGUGCUUGAUCUAUAAUGGGUCAGAUAAUUUUUUAUAUCUUAAAGGGCUUAAAUGGGUCAAACAUGUAAUGAAGAUAGGAAGAUCCACUUCUGCACAAAAUAUGGGCUACUAUUAGAGGUUAAACAUAAAUUGGAUGAUGGCGAUGCUUUGGUUUUCAAAUUGAUUGAGCUACAAGAUUCAAGUUGAUUUUACAUUAAAAGAAUUACAAAAUUUAAGGGCAAAGAUGAGGGUUCCGUUCCGUGAUCAUCAGCAAUAUAAUGGUUAGUUUCCUUUUAAUUUUUAAGAGCCCAAUGUUCUUUGAAAUAAAAUCCAACAAUUUGCUGAAAAAUUAACCGGGGCUUUGUAAUAUAAGUUCAUAGAAGGUAUUUGAGCUCAUACAUUACAGAGGUGUUUUGCUUUGAACUGGUCAAGUACAUCAAACGGCUUAAAUAAAUAUUUAGCUCACUGCAUCUAAAUGCAUAAAAACUUUCAAAAACUGGAUCAGCAUUAUUAUAUUCUACUUUUAAAUCAUAUUAAUCUCUUCUUAUAAAACUAAUGGAUAGAGAAAGCAAAUAAAAUGUUGCAAGUUGGCCAAUCUGACUUAAUACGCAAGGUGGGAAUUUAAGUUGUGUUGAAAGGAUUAUAAAUCAUUUUUUGGCUUGUGAAGAGAAAGUUACAGUUCUUUCUCCGAGAACGAUUGUUUCGGAAGUAUCGCCGUCGUCUGUACCGUUGAGGAAAGUUUCAAAGCUUGUGGAUAAUUAUAUGGCGGAGGUUGCAUCUGAGGUGAAUUUGAAACCUGAAAAGAUGAAAUCGCUUGCGGAAAUUCUUCCUGAUUCUGCAAGAUCUUUGAAUAAUGGGUUGUAUAGAGCUUUGGAUGUGUAUUUUAAGGUGGGUGGAUGCCCAACACCAAACUUUUACAUGCCAAUGCUUUCGCCAAGUCAGCAGGCACCACAUCCAGGUGGAAGUUGUGUUGAUGUUCCUGGGAAGCAGAAUCAGCAACAACCCAUUCUUCAUACGCAGCAACAGCGGAAUAGCUGGAACCUGAGUCAGCAACAAAGGGUACAAGAAUAGGUUGAAACAACAAUAUGUCGAGUUUCCAAAGGCAGGUUCUAGACAAUUGUUCCAGGUUGUUGACGAAGUUUAGGAGUGGUGUGGUGAUGUUUAACUGCUGUUAAAUUGUUUCUAAUAUGAUAUUUAGAUGUGCCAAGGUCUCUACUAGGUGAUGUAUUAUGCUUGUGUUAUCAAUUUCUUUCAAAUGAUUAUUUCAACAAUUUUAAGUUAUAUACUUGUGUGUUAGUCCACCCGCGAA
rnacentral:lncRNA from 1 species